CGGCGGCGCUAGCACCUCGGAGGAGGGUAGCCGAAGCGAGUGGAGCGCAGCGCUGGGAGCCGGACUGGGGGUGGGGAAACCAGCCCGGUCCAGGCGAGGGCCACCCCCGGUCCUCUGCCUCCGCGCCCCGCCAGGGCCAGGUGAGCGGCUGGGGGGACUCCCGGAUGCGGGUGCUGGGAGGCUAGAGGUGAGAGGGCGCAAGGCCGGCGCCAGCGCACGGCUUCUCCCUCUCAGGAGCUGCCCUUUGGCGGGCCGGACACCCUGCCUGCGCCGGGGAGCGCUGCGGGACUUUUCCUAGAGGAACUGGAAAGUGAAGCGGGGUGUGAGCGGGAGUGCAUUUAUGUGGCUCGGGCAGGCGCCUGUGCCCGCCCGAAACCCGCACCCGUCCUCCACCCGCCGCUUGGCGUCAGUCCACGGAACGGACUCAGCCCGUGCUGUCGGCGCUCGGAGGCCAAAGGCCUGUCACUCCGGGCUCUACUCGCUGCCUUUGUGGCGGGAGCCGGACAGACAGAGCGUGGGAUGAGGGAGGCUGCGGCGCGCGGCAGAGUGCCCAGAAGCAACGAGGUGGAGGCUGAGAAGGGGUGCGCCCCGACCGGUUCUCGGAGCCCAGGGGGGGCAGUGAGGCGGUCCCUGGAAUGGUGGACGGCAGGUAGGGGGACACAAGAGGUGAUCCGGGAGAGAAUGGCUAGAGCUCGGCUUGGGAAAGUUGAGAGCGUCUAUAGGUGGCCAGGCGUUCGCUCUGUGUCCGUGGGUUUCUUUUUUUUUCCACGCCAAAUGUCACUUCGUCACGAGCGCGCGCGCAUGUCUUCCGGCCGUCAUUUCCAUUUUUCUUCUGUUGAGUGACUGAGGACCACUCUUAUUCUGAAUGAGACACAAAGGGUUGUGUUGACAGCUGACCCUGACACACAAAGUAGACAGCGAGGCGAGCUGUUCCUUGGCUAGGCGAGGGUGAUAAUGGGUGGUUUGUUCAAGUAAAUCUAUUACCGCAAUCCCUGAGCUCCAUUAUAUGAAAAUUGCGUGUUUGGGUUCAGUGCGGUGCGGGUUUCUCAAUCCGAGCUCAAGUAACGUCCCAGGACACGAUUCAUCUGCACGAAAAGCUGCUGCCUCCAAAUGAGGCGGACGAAUCCUGGAGGAACUCCUAAAUCAUGCUUCUUUUCUUUGGUGAACGUGACUGUUACAAGGUCCUUAUCCACUCCACUCCGUCCUCUGUCCCAGGCUAAUAAGAUAGAAAUCAAAUUUUGAUUUCUACUCUCUGCACCAUGAGUGCCCCGUUUGAGAUGAGAAGCCCUAUUCGAAUCCCCUUUUUAAAGCCUUGCCAUUUAAAUACCAGGAAAGAGUUUUUUCCUUUUCAAAAGGCUUUUGAACUAAACGCCCCCUUAAAAACAUCACACUCCUGUUUAUGUAUUUAUGUUUUAAAUCCUGGAAUUCUGUCUUGAGUUUUGCGACUGUGUUGGUUCUUUUUUUGCUCUGAAAAUUUCUGUGAGAUUUUACAAAUUUCAAUACCGAAAUCUUUUUUUUUUUUUGCCCGAAAUCUUCUUUAAAAGAGAAAAAUGAAAAUAGUUGUGCUAUUGAAAGUGGUAAUAAAAUUGUAUGCAUUCAGUUGUGUAUUGAGAAAGAAAAAUUUAAUUAAUGAAUGUGGAAAAGUAAUAAGAAUAGGGUAAAUUUUUUAGCCAACAAUGAAGAAAAUACAGGGCAAAUUAAGCCAGCAUCCCCCACUCCCCAGCUUUCCAUCUCUCCAAACCCUACUUCUCCCAGAGGCAACCACUGUUGUAAAUUUCUUGUAGGUAUACUGCCCAUAAACUUCUGUUAAAAUGGAGAUACAUUAUGGAAAUCAAGAAUGAAAGGGACUGAAUGUAAGACUGGACUAUAUUAUUGGUGAUGACUGUUAACUUGAUAUCAACACAUGAUGAAAUUAGGACCUUUUAUUUGGCCUAGGCUGAUACUUACUACCUUGAAGAUCAAUUAGAGUGUGAAGAAUCUUAGAACAAGUGUUCAAUGGAAAGCAGAACUAUUAAAUAAUUAUUCCUCACUCCCAGUUUCUUGAUUCUGUUUUUUAUAACCUUUGCUGAAGUUUUUCCUCUCUCUUGGAACUCUUUAUAGAGAAUGAGAAUUAUAGUUUAUUCUGUCCACUGCAGUAUAUACCUGAAAACAUUGAAAGAACAUGUAUAUUUCCAUGGGAUGUUUUUGAAAAGUCAGGAGAAAUAUGGAGGCCAAGUUUAAGAGUUUGGUCACAUUUCUUAGUUCCAGGUCUGGAUUUGCCUUAAACUAGCCAAUAACUUUCUUGGAAGUGCUUUUGUUUUCUCCUCAUUUAAAUAAAGGAAUUAAGCCACAUGGUUUUUAAGGGCCCUUCUUUUUUUUUAAAAAAAAAUUAUUCUUAAUUGUAGAUGGACACAGUAUCUUUAUUUAUUUAUUUUUAUGUGGUGCUGAGGAUCAAAUCCAGUGCCUCUCACGUGCUAGGCAAGUACUCUGCUAUUGAGCUAUGAUCCCAGUCCCUUAAAGGUCCUAGAACUCCAAAAUUCUAUGAUCAAUAUAGUCCUGUUGGAGUUUAAGACUGGCUAAGGAAAAUCCAGUUGGACUGUGGAUAUUAGGCAGUGGUGUGACAAAAAAAAAAAAUCUGAAUGGUAGAUCAUAAAGAGGUUAGAGAUGUUUGAACUACAUUUCUAUUUUAAUGAGUUUGAUAUCAUUGGAGAACAGCUACUUGACUUUCCCACAAAAUGUCUGUUUAUGUUGCUUGGUAGAGACCAACCCCUGGGCUGAAAGGGCCUCUGCAUGUCACCUUGUAUAGCUAAGAGGGAAUUCUCUUCACAGUUUAUGGUGCCAUUUAUAGGGAAAUUACUCUUACCAAACUCUUACUUUUCUUUUGGUUAAAGUGGAAUUAAAUUUCAUUUUACCUACUUCAGAGACACCUGACAUAAAUUAAUUGGCAAUUCUUAAAAGUAUUGAGAUUAUGAAUAUCCCUUACAGCUAAGAUAUUUAGUUAACUUUGUAAGCACUUAGAGAUCUUGUUCUUAGUAGGAAACUCUCCUAAUCUUUAAAACAUCUACAACCUCUGGGCUGAUGAUUCCUGGUUGGGUGCAGGAGUCUAGGAGUGACUACAAAGUUGUGAAAGUAAAAAGAAUUUGCUAAUUUUGGUCACUGUGGAGGAUCUUAAUUAAGGAAUUUCAAAAGUACACUAUAAAUUCUGAUUGUAGGCAAAAAUCAUUGAUGUUAAGAUGGAGAUCCCUAUUAUCCUAGGUACAUGUAUGAUUGUACAACCAGAGAAGUGAAAAAUUGUGCAUUUGUGUACAAUGAAUCAAAGUGCAUUCUGCUGUCAUGUAUAACUAAUUAGAACAACAACAAAAUGAUGGAGAUCCCAUACUUAAAGAAAAGUUUCAGAACCACUGAUUUAAAAAUAUUAUGUAAUUACUUUCACUAGGUCUAUAACAAAUAAAUUAUAGUGAAGUUUGAAAAAUUGUUUAGGAUGCUAGAAAUAUGAAUUAGAAGAAUAGAUUUGUAAGAGUGCUUGAUUUGCUGACAAAACUGAUAAAAACAAAAGAAAAUUGAGUACCGAUAGUGAAAUUCUACAGUGGCAAUAAUAUUUAUUUUUUGCACCUCCCUUCCCAAUCUGAGUAUAAUAUAUAUGUUUAUAGAUGUCUUAUUGCAGAUACAUUUUUAUUCUGAUUUUUUCAUAAAAAUUUUUCAAUAGUUUACCACUUUAUAAUAAUUUUAUAAUAGUUUAUACAACAGAUAUCCCCAAAUUUACUUAACUCUUCCUACUUUGGGAUUUUCCAGUAUUUUUAAAAAAUAUAAUGACCAUCCUCAUGAAUGUCAUCUUUUUUUUAAAGUACUUAGGAUUUUUUUUGUAGAAAAGCAGGAUAGUGUUGCUGUAAAAGUGUGCUCUAAAAUUGGAAAUUUUGAGUUUAAACCUAGCUCUAUCACUUAUUGGCAAUAUUGAGCAAGUAAUUUAUUUUCUCAGAACUUUAGCUUUCUAAUCUGUAAUAUACAGUAAUAGCUCUUUACAAAUUGUUAAGAUAAAAAACCAUAACACAUAAAAACACAUAUAAAUGUUGCCCUUAUUUUUAUUAGAAAAUUUCCAGGAAAUUAUUUUCUAAAAGGGUUAUCAAAGAGUAUAUUGAUCAUUAACAACUAUAUAUGCAUUUUUGUUAUUUGGAAAUAGUUAAUUAUUCUUAUUAAUCUGAUCAGUAUUAAAUUCUAUCCCUUUGUCUUGGUUUGCAUUUCUUUGAUUUUGUACAGAGUGAGGAAUAGUUUUUUUCAGCUGUGUUGCCAACUGUUUUCUAAAUGUAGUUGUGGAAGCCUUAUUGCCUCCGUGCUUUCAAGCUAAACUAUAAGAUGGACAUAUAGGAGAGGUCAGUUGCAAUGCUAAUGACAAGUACACUAGAAUUUUCAGUAGGCUUUUAAAAAAUUAAUUGUAGGGUUUUUAUAUUUUUUGUCUAUUGUAAUGGUUAUUUGCUAUUAUUUUAAAUCUUAAAAAAGUCACUUAAAAUUAAUAACUAAUAUCAUAUAUAAACCCGAUUUAAGUGAAAAUUUAAUUCUCUCUUUUCUUUUCCUUGAAUGGCUAAUUUAUAAAUAAUUUUGUGAUCACAAUUUUGUAAACUUUUUAUUAGGAAUGCUUCUUAAAAUUGAAGGAAAAAACCCAGAAAAUUUAUGAUCUCUAAUCAGGUUAUCUCUUGGCUACAAAUGGAUCAUGAAGUUAUGCCCUCUGACUUGAGUUUUAUAUAGUCAAGGUAAUUUAGACUACACAAAAGCAUGCCCUUGUAAGUUCUGGAGUUCCAGCAACCCUGAUAUUUCUGGCAAACACACACCCAACAUGGAUAACAGCAGCUCUUUGUGCUGUUGAGCUCCAGGAGGGCUCUCUAUUGUGUACUCUUCCUUCCCUCCCAUUCUUGACUGACUGGUGAUACACACUCCUCCAAGUCCAGAUGUGAGGUCCCAUAGCAACUCCUUUUCUCUUCUACUCAACACCAUAUUUACCCUGACCAUCUCUUCAGUGUAUUUGUUUUUGCCUUGUCUUUGAUACAGAAAACUGGCUAUCUUUUCAAGGUUGUGGCUUCAGAUUUUAUUUUUAUUUUUCCCUAUGCUUUAUGAGUAUCAACAGUCGCAAAGUGGAGACUGUAGCCAUGAUUAGCAAAGAUUAACACAAACCAGCACUUGAUAAAUGUUUGUUGCAGUGAACCAUAUCUUGUGUUGUCUUCUCUGUUCCUGGCCAUGGUUCUGUUUCUACCAGUCUGUAGACAAACUUUAGUUGUGUCCCGUAUUGCUGUGUUGGCCUUUAUUUACCAAGGUUAGCAGUUUUGCUUGAUUUGGCUCUUCUAACUUCUUGUGUGCUUAGAGGAUUUUCUUUGACUCUCAUGCCUUACUUUUCCUCUGUAAAAUGGGAUUAGUGAUUAGUCCUCUAAUUAUCAAUCUCCUGCAUAGAAUAUUUUUAUGUGUGUGAAGAUAAAAUGAAAUAAUAAAUGUAGACUUGUUUUAGAAAAACAAAAUAAUGAAUACAGAUUUGUUUUAGAAAAGUGAAAUAAUGUAGACUUGUUUUAGAAAAGAGUGUGGAUAAAAUUAUACUGUUGUCAAAAUUACGUAUUGUCACUACCCUUUUAGGAGGAUCCAUAUCUUUAAGAAAACCUUGGCUCAGUGUAAAGUUACACUUGGACCAUGGGGUUAGAUGGAAAUUCUUAGGGUCCACCCUAACUUAUUAAAUCAGAAACUUUGGGGAGGGGGCCAACACACUUUUCUAGUGAGUAAAAAACUUCCACAACCACUGGCAUGUUCUUCUACAAGUUAAAUAUUAGUUGCAAAAUAAUCCACAACUAUUAUAAAAUCACAUUUGCAUGCUAGACAUGGACUGAAAAUCAGCUCUUAUUAUUAGCCACUAUUUGUCUUUUAAUCUAUCAGAAUUUAAUUCAGGCAGGAAUUGUAAACACAGAUGCCUGGAAAGGCCAAAGAGUAAUUUUGAGUGAGGAAGCUGACACCUCAGAAUGGCUCAGUCUCCUCUCUUGCCUUUUGGAAGUGAGGGCACAUUGUCAGAUUGCUUAAUUUUUUAAAUGAAGCUGGAAAUUCACACUUCUAUGUGAAUACAAAUGGUGGUAAUGAAUUUUAAAGAAAACAUACAGUCCCAUCAAAACAGAUUUGGAAGCCAGGUAAUUUCCAACCUCUGAGUUAAAUAAUUUUCUGUUGAAUAAGUGUGAUGACAGAAGAAAUAAACCCAUUAAACAUUAUUAGUAGUAAAAACUAAGUGCAUAUUAAAACCACACUUAGGGCUGGGGAUGUGUCACUCAGUGGUAGAGCACUUACUUAGCAUGUGUGAGGCUCUGGGUUCAAUCCCUAACACUGAAGAAAGGAAAGAAGGAAGAAAGAGUAAAAAUAAAAAUAAAACCACACAAGACAUUUUUCAACUUUCAGAUUAUGAAGUUCAAUAGUUAGAUAAUAUUUAGUGUUGACAAUUAGAUAAAAAAGUAGUUAUUGUCAUGUAUUAAGAGUGAAGGCAUAUACUUACAAUUUUUCUUUUUUCUUUUUUUUUUAUUAGUUGCUCAAGACAAUACAAUGAUCUUGACAUAUCAUACAUUUGAUUCAAAUAGGGUAUGAAUUCUCAUUUUUCACGUGUACAAAUUGCAGGAUCACAUUGGUUAUACUUCCAUGUGUAUACAUACAGCAAUCCUAGUGUCAGUUGUAUUCUGUACUUAACAAUUUUUCUUGAGAGCAAUUUGGCAUUGCAUGUCAAGAUCUCCUAAUAUGCUAGUUCUUAGUCACAAGUAGCCAUUUAAAUGUUAGUUAAUUAACAUUAUCUACAACUAAAGAUUCAGUUUCUCAGUUGCCUUGGAUUUCAAAUGCCCAGCAGCUGCAUUCAGCUGGUUGGUGGCUGCUAUGUUGAACAGUAUAGAUAGAGAGCAUUGGAGGAAGUUCUAUUGGAAAGUGAUGGUUUAAAUUCUUUGACUUACAAAUUUCCCUUCUAGGAGUUUGUUGAAAAGAAAUAAUUAGACAAAUGCAAAAAGGCCUAUAACAAAAAUAUCACCUGAAACGUUAUUUAUGAGAGUAAAAAAAAUUGGAAAACAUGCAAAUGCCAUGUUGAGAACCAGACUGUAGUAAAUAUCUAUGAAAAAAUGUUAAAUAUGUUAAGUGAAAAUAUCUCUAUUGUAGAAUUAUUUAAUUUUGGAGGGGAGAAGCUUAGGACAAAAGGUUAAGGAAACAAUUUUUCUCUUCUGAAAAUUAUACGAUAGAGGGGCUGGGGUUGUGGCUCAGUGGUAGAGCGCUCGCCUAGCACAUGCGAGACCCUGGGUUUGAUCCUCAGCACCACAUAAAAAUAAAUAAAUAAAAUAAAGAUAUUGUGUCCAACUACAAAUAAAAAAUAAAUAUUUUUUAAAAAUACAUGACAGAAUUUUUCCUUUUCAGUCUACAUGCUUCUCUUCUCAAGUAGUAAAACAGAUUGACUUUCACUAAAAAUGAGCAGAGGUAUUGGACAACUCUCUAAAUUUCAUAAGAAUUCCUGUAGCUGAGUUCUUGUUAGAAAGUCAGAGUCUCAGGCCCCAACCCCACCUGCUGAACCAGGAAUCUGUGUGUUAACAAACUGCUUACUAGUUAUAUCUGCCUCCUAUCACUGAAUUGCUCAAGCUGCAUUUGUUUUACCUUGACCAAGUUAAAUCCUGAACUCUGUCCAGGCCCUGUUCUAGGUGUUAGGUAUGCUGCAGUGAAGAAAAGUGCAAAUACCCCUCCUCAUGGGAGUCAAGCUUAGUAAGCAAAAGAAAAUGAGUUAAAUAUGCCGUCUUUUUAGAUAGUGGAAUGCUAAAGCAGAAAGAGGAAUUAAGAAGUGAGAUGGGGGUGCUGGGGAUGUGGCUCAGUGGUAGAGCACUCGCCUAGCAUGCAUGAGGCACUGGGUUCGAUCCUCAGCACCACAUAAAUGUUAAAUAAAGAUAUUGUGUCCACCUAAAACUUAAGAAUAAAUAUUAAAAAAAAAAGAAGAAGUGAGAUGGGGCUUGUGAUUUUCUACACAUUGUCUCUGAGAAGUGUCACCUGAGUGAAGAAGACCUGAGGGCGGUGAGAGGCUGAGCCUUUGGAAAGUUUAGGGAAUGAGGGUUUGUUGGAAGGGUAACCAGAAGGCUGGUGAGCUGAAGGGGUGAGGGAAGUGAGGGAGUGAGUGGGGGAUUAGGUCAGAGAGGUAAUGUGAAUCUUUUUACUUUGAAAUUCUUUGUCUCAGGCUGGGGUUGUGGCUCAGAGGUACAGCACUUACCUAGCAUGUGCAAGGCACUGGGUUUGAUUCUCAUCACCGUGUAUAAAUAAAUGAAUAAAAUAAAGAUCCAUCAACAUCUAAAUAAUUAUUUUAAAAUAAAUUCUUGGUCUCUAGUGUGCCAUACUCUUCAAAUUCUAUGGUUAAUCAGUUUGUGAAGAGAUCAACCAUCCCCGGAAUUCAAGGGGAUUUGUCAUGUUCUGCCACAUUUGCCUGGGGUGCUUAUUAAAUACAGAUUAUUGGUCACUGGACCUACUGAAUAAGAAUCUCUGGGGUGGGACCCACAAAUAUACAUUUUAACAAUCUUCCCAAGUGGUUUUUAUGGAUACAAAAGUAUAGAACCACUCAUCAAAUUUAUCGCUCUGUAAAUUUAGUUGUUUUUGGAUACCAGGGAUUUAACUUGCGGGCACUCGACCACUGAGCCACAUCCCCAGCCCUAUUUUGUAUUUUAUUUAGAGACAGGGUCUCACUGAGUUGCUUAGUGCCUCGCUUUUGCUGAGGCUGACUUUGAACUAUCGAUCCUCCUGCCUCAGCCUCCCUAGCUGCUGGAAUUACAGGUGUGUGCCACCCCACUCAACUGUAAAUUUAGUUUUUAUGUAGCAGAUAGGCCAAAAGUUGUCCCUGCUGUCUCUGUAGGUCACAGUGUGAAAAGAAGAUGUCAUUGGUAUCAUAUCUCCUUUAUUUCCUGCAUUUAAAAUCAAUUCAACGGACACAACUUACAGCAGGUUUAUGUAUACAUCUUUAUGAGGUAUUUGGGGAACUGAAAAACUAUUACUGGGAUCUAUACCCACAUUGGAUGAUGGGGGGAAUUUUUCACUUUAAAAAUGAGAAAGUGAAAAGUUUUGCCAUCUACCCCCAAGUCUGUUCUGUUUUUUGAAAAGGGCGAAUUUAAAUUUGUUUGAUUUUUUUUUUUUUCCCUCAAGUUGUCUUUUUGUCCUGUUACUUCCUUUUUUCUUUUUUCCUUCUAAAAAUCUAACCAUACUAAAUUAAACACCAUUGACAUUUCUGUGGCUAUCUUUUGUGCACACACACAUAUAUAUAUAUUUGUUAAUACAAUUUUAUAUAAACAUAUUGUGCUUUAAAAAAAUCAUGGUCAUUUCUUUUUUAAAAAUUCAGGGGACUGUCUUUCUCCUUUACCCUUCCUUUUCAUGCUACCAGUGUUGCUGAUCUUUAUGUUGUAUUAACUUUUUCCAUGACCAUGUAAAAAUAUAUGUUAUACACAUUAAGAUGUACUAUGUAUAGUAUAUUUCAGCAUCUUUUAUAUGCUGUCAUAUUUUAUACAUAAUCAUCUUUUUUCACUUAAUAAAACACAAGGGACAAGUUCUAAAUUAAUUGGUAUAGCUCUUACUUAUUCUUUUUAAUGAUUAUAUAAUAUUUUUUAGUAUAUAUAUUUCACAAUUAAACAACCAUUGAAGGACAUUUAUUUAAAAUAAGCACAAAUCUCAUUACAUAAUUUAAAAAUACCUUUGUAAAGCAAAAAAGAAACCAUAAAUAAAUACCAUAAGCAAAUGACAGAUUUUGGGGGAAACACCUUUAAAUGUGCAGAUAAAAGAUUACCAUUUAUGGUAUAUAAAGAACUAUUACAAAACGGUAAUAAAAAUAUUUUAUAAAACAGAACUUUAAAAUGUUUGCAAACAGUGUAACUAAUCAGUCACAGUAACUCAAUUCUAAUUGUCAAUUAAUAUAAAAAAUGCUAGAUUUAUUUGUUGUUUAAAAAUGCAAAUUACAAAUUGCAAACUAUUACUUGAUGCCUACUUGAUAUUAAUAUAGAACUUUCAUCCAUUAACAUUUCUAGAACUAGUUUGUUUCACUGAAAAAAAUCUAUGCAUUAACUUUUUUUUUUUAGGGUAUCUGGGAUUGAACUCUGGGGCACUCAAUCACUGAGCCACAUCCCCAGCCCAUCUUUUGUAUUUUAUUUAGAGACAGGGUCUCACUGAGUUGCUUAGCACCUCACUUUUGCUGAGGCUGGCUUGGAACUCUCAAUCCUCCUGCCUCAGCCUCCUGAGCCACUGGAUAAUAGGCAUGUGCCACCACGUCCAGCCUUAACUUUGGUCUAACAAAUUUUAUUAAAGUUGUAAAACAGAGUUAUUUCUCAGGAUUCUUUUUGUUUGCUCAUUGAAUUUGAGGAAGAUUGAAUUUUAUUUUCUUUCAGGCUGAACUCAUAAGCUAAAGUAUGAGAACAGAGAUUAGAAAUUAAAAUUUAUUUUAUUUUUGUUUUUAUUUUUGUAGUGCUGGGAAUUUGAACACAUGUUCUUGUGCAUGUUAGGCAAACACUCUACCUAAGCAUAGUAAAUUUAUUAAGUAAAUUUUUAUAUUAAUUGCAUGACUUUUUUUUUAUUCAAGAGGAUUUCUUCCAUUUCAAAAUGGAGUGCUGUUGCGUUUUACAGCCAUAGGUAAUCCACCCUGAGAGAAAACAGUGCCACAGGGUUUUUGUGACUUGCUUAAGGUCACCUAGCUAGUCCUGCAUGCUUUCUAAUUUACCUUAUUGUUUCUCAAUGUUUUCUCAUACCUUUAAUUGCAGCUAAUAUAGAGAAAUCACAUUUCAAGAAUUGUUUCCUUUUUCAAAAAAUAUUGAAUUACAACUCUUGGGGAAAUUAAUAUGAUUAUAUUUUAAGUAGAAUAAUAUCAUAUGAGAACACUAUAAAAAGUCAGAAAAUAAACAUGACUUAACAAUCCUACCACCCUAGGAGAAUGAACUGUUACUUCAAUUUUGCUUUAUCUGUAUGUGUUAAUGAUUUUAUAUAUUUAAUACCAUAACAUUUUUUCAAAAAACUUGUUAUUCACUGAAAAAUCUAUGCAUUAACCUUUUUUUUUAGGGUACUGGGGAUUGAACUCAGGGGCACUCAACCACUGAGCCACAUCCCCAGCCUUCUUUCGUAUUUUGUUUAAAGACAGGGUCUCGCUGAGUUGCUUAGCACCUUGCUUUUACUGAGGCUGGCUUGGAACUUUCCAUCCUCCUGCCUUAACCUCCUGAGCAGCUGGGAUAAUAGGCAUGUGCCACCACACCCAGCCUAUGCAUUAAGUUUGGUUUUAAAAAUUUUAUUAAAGCUGUAAAACAGAGUUAUUUCUCAGGAUUUUUUGUUUGCUCAUUGAAUUUGAGGAAGAUUGAAUUUUAUUUACUUUCCAAAAACUUUUGGUAAUUUUGACUUUCAGGCUUUCCAACAAUCUGCUUGAAUCAAUUCUUCCUUUUUUCAAUUUAUUUUUCAUGCAUGUUAUUUUUAAGUCUUGAACAUUGUUUUGUAUCAGUGUCCACACCUGAUCAAAAACCUUCAGUGACUCCCUCCCACUUUCCUACCUUAGUGUUUCCCAAAGGACAUUAGGACCCUGGUCUAAUGCUGGCAGCUGCAUGUAGCAAAACCAAAAACUAAGGAUAUUUACCAGUGAAGUUUUUUUUUUUCCCCUAAAUAUUUAUUUUUUGUAGUUGUAGUUGGACAUAAUAACUUUAUUUUAUUUUUUUUAUAUGUGGUGCUGAGGAUCGAACCCAGGGCCUUGCAGGUGCAAGGUGAGUGCUCUACCCCUGAGCCACAACCCCAGCCCCUACCAGUGAAGUUUUUAUAUCACCAAAAUGUCUAGGGUAGAGGGAGAGAGCAGUUCCUGGGUUAAUUCAGAUGCUUGUUUAUGCCAAGGAUUCAGGUUCUUUUGGUCACAUUGCCAUCCUUAGCUCCAUGGCAUUUGUCUUCCAGCUUGUCUCUUCAUUUUCCUAGAAUGUUAAUAGCAUGCACAAGACUCGUAUCCUCAUGUAUCUUUAACUGGAGUCAGAAGAAGGCUUUUUUUUUUUUUCCUAUUCAGGCUAAAUACUUUUUAAAGAAUUUACCUACAGAUAUAGAUGUACCAAAUCUCCUUGGUUAGAAUUUUCCCCAUGCUCAUCAUAACCCAUUUGCCAAGAAGGAAAAUGGAAUUACCAUGACUUCUGUAGAAUAUUUACGAUUUUCCUUAGAGCCUAGUGAGGGACCCAUUCUCUGGGGUAAGCAUACAAUCUCUGGGGUUGUUCAUAUGGAAGAAUAUCAAAAAAUGGGAUGAUUAGGCAGACAGCCAAUGUGUACCAUAAAACUGAAUUUUCUCAGUUUCUUUCAGGAGUCUUCAUAAUCUGAUCCCAUAAUAAUCUAAUAUGAAACCUCUAUUCUAUACAAGCCAAUCAGUUGUCUUUCCUCCCUAUAUAUCCUGCUCAUGUGCAUUCCUACCUAUUGGCAUAUUAUUUUCUGUAUUUUCCAAAUAAUCCAAUACAAAAACUCAUGUUAACUCACGUUGUUUCUCUUUCAUAGAAAAUUUUCUCUGUUCUCUAAAGCAGAUGUGGCUCUUUUAACUAAAAUCUAUUUAAUUUAAAAUUAAGUUUUUCAUCCACACUAGUUGCAUUUUAAGAGCCUGCUGGCUACUGUGUUGGAGAGCAAAAGCAUAGAAUAUUUCUAUCAUUACAGAAAGUUCUCAUGGACAGCAUUACUCUAGAGAUUCUUGCAAACUAUGCCUAUUAUUUAACGUAGUGUGUGCCAAACUAGAGAUCAUCUGUAUGGGAAUCAACUGGGGAUGCUGUAUAAAUGCAGAUUCUGAGCCCUCAGAAUAGAAACCAGACCACUUUCACAUCAAUAAAGAUGAAGGACCUUGGGCUGGGGUUGUAGCUCAGUGGCAGAGCACUUGCCUAGCAUGUGUGAGGCACUGGGUUCGCUUCUCAGCACCAUAAGUAAAUAAAUAAAAUAAUGGUACAUUGACAACUAAAAUAAUAUUUUUAAAAAAGAUGAAGGAUGUUGCUUUGAGGUGUAGUUUCUGUCUUUUAUGUAAAUUUAUUGACAUUUGAGUUUUUAUUAAUUUUCUUAUGCUCUAAACACAGUUUUUAUAUUAAGUUUUAGAAUUUUAGGGUAUAGACUUACAAAAUUUCAAAAAGUAUUCUUUGCUGAAUCUUAGAACAUAAGCCUCUUAAGAAGAGGUACUAUGACAUAUUAUUUUCUGUAUUUUCCAAAUAUCCAGUACAAAUAUAUCUAAUACAAUAUUGGGUACAAAGUAUUGACCAAUUAGCUGUAUUCUACAGAAUUGACAAUCUAGAGUCUAUUAUAUUUAAUUGCUAAUUCUUUGAAAAAUAAUAGGGUUUUCAAUAUUGAAGAUAGAAGAUGGAUGAUAAUGAAAGUACUUCUCAAUAUUUUCCUCAGUUUCAUUUAUUGGAAAUAAGCCUGAAUAUUAUGAUUGUAUUUCUGAGUAUCAUAUGAAGAUGUUCCCUAUACAGUAAAGAUUUGCAGCACUUAAGAAAAGAAUGGCUGUUUUUAAAAUCCUCUGAGUUCUUGAUUCUUUUAUGGAACAUAAACUAGUCAAACCUCUGGAGCCAUAGUUGUAAAUGGACUCCCCAGGUGAAUUGGGUUCGUCUCUCAAUUAGCUAGUAGUCCCAGGUAGCUGUUCUGUGCUCUGCUUUGAUGAUUUGUUAAUGGCCUGAGAAUUGCUGGAGCAAGAUCUUGACACAUUGGAGAUUAGCUAAGGCUACAUGUUCACAAGUUGGAAAACAAGUGAAUGGUCCAAUAGAAUAGUCAUUAGCCGUGAGCUACAGAAUCUCAGGACUAAUUUGAGGAAUUUUUAUGCACAAUUUCACAGCUUGAAUCAUUCUUUGAGUUGAUGUAAAAACAAACAGCAACAUUCUGUGGUAGGCUCAUAUAUUAAUAAUGUUACUAAAUUCUUAGUUUUCUGUAAAAAUUAGGCCAUGUAAAAACCCCUAUUUCCCCCCUUUUUCAUAUGCAUGGAACAAUCAAAUACUAGGUGUGAUAUUUUUACAGUAUUACUACCUUUGGGUAGUAAGUAUAAAGUCAGAAUUCAAACCUAAGGCUGGCUGAUUUCAAAGUUAUUAUUCUUUCCUCUGUGUCGUACUAGGUAUAUACAUCUUGUGGCUUUAGUAAAUUGUAAGAUCUAGAAGUCAGGAAUUGUGUCUUAAAAUGUUUUUUCUUACCCAAAACUUAGUCAAAAGUUUUAUUAAAUGAACCAUCUGCAUAAUCCACUGAAGCUCUGUUGGAGUCUGUAAAUGAAGUAUCUGGGUUAUGGUAUUUCAGAUAUUCUAAAUGUUUGAGGUUUUAUGCCACUGUAAAGAUCCCUGAGCCCGUGGUAUGCCUUAUCUCAACGUUUACCUUCAGAGCAGGAUCUGUGAUGAAACAGUACAUGGCAUAGUUGCAUGUCUGAAAUUUCAGAGAGAGAGAGAGAGAGAGAAAUACAUGUAUAUACACACAGAGUGUGUUUAUCAGUAUAUGAGUGUAUGCAUAAAACAGUCUGUAAUUAUAAAAAAGUCAUGAAAGUCUUUAUGACCCGUAUACUUGUCCCUACCUAUUCAUCUCUUAUUUAAUAAUUUAAUUAAUAGCAAGUAUUAAUAAUUUAAUUGAUACAAAUUAAUCUGUACUACUACACACAUUGUGCAAACAUCAUUUCUAAUCUUUACAACAACCCUGUGAUACAGGCAUCAUUCUCACUUUUACAGCUAAGAAAACAAAAGUUUAGAAAGGGUUAAGUAAAUCUCACAUGAGCCUUUGGGUAGUAAGUAUAAAGUCAGAAUUCAAACCUAAGGCUGGCUGAUUUCAAAAUUAUCAUUCUUUCCUCUGUCGUACUAGGUAUAUACAUCUUGUGGCUUUAGUAAAUUGUAAGAUCUAGAAGUCAGGAAUUGUAUCUUAAAAUGUUUUAUCUUACCCAGAAAAGUAACUUGUUACAAAUGUUGCUGCUCUUGCUGAAGGUGGCCAUAGGUAAGUGCUAAAAGUCUAUAUUAACUCUUUCAGAUCCUUAGGGAAUGGUUUAGUGCAACAUUUUGGGGAAACAGGCUGUACAAGGCUAUCUCUUGGUGAAGAAUGGUGCUAAUGGGGAUCAAGUCCUGGGUUUUCUUAGCAAGCUUGAAUGAAGGCUCCAAGAUGGUAGAUGUUUUGUCCUUUUGCUUAUUGCUCCAUCUGUAGCACCUAGGACAGACAGGGCAUAGUUGCCCCUCAGUAAACAUUUGUUAAAGAAUGAAUGAAUGAAUGACAUGUGUGGAGAGGUGUUAGAUUUAGUCUACGACUGUAUAUUCUGUAUAUUUGACCUGGGUCAAACUUAUUUCCUGUCCAAGCCACUGACCACAAGAGGACUUGGGGGAAAGGGGGAAAAAUCAAGGCAAGGUCCAUGCUUUUUGGAAGCUGUCAGCAGCGUUAUCUUUUGAAUAAAGGGUGGGAGCAGGAAAAAUAAAUCCAAAAGCUUUUUGUGGCCAAGGUGAAGGGAGAUACAUUUCAUUUCUCUCUUCUUUUUGAAUUUCACAAAAUGAUAAUGUCUUUGUAAUCCUUCAUGCAUGUUCAAUUUAUCUUCAAAUUUACUUAUUUGCAAAUUUACUUAUUAUUAUUUAUAUAUAUUUAUUUUUUAGUUAUAGAUGGACAUGAUGUCUUUAUUUUACUUGUUAUGUGGUUCUGAGAAUUGAACCCAGUGCCUCAUGCAUGUCAGGUGUGCACUCUACCUCUGAGCCACAAUCCCAGCCCACAAAUUUACUUAUUAUUUGGUAAUAUGGGCUUUGCAUUUGCCAAUAAAUAUCCUAGUUAAAAUGAUAAUAAUAAUGGAAACCUAGUGUGGUGGUAUAUGACUGUAAUCCCAGCUACUUUGAAAGCUGAGGAUAGAAAGAUAGUAGAAUGAAUUGAACAUAACUUUUCCUGUGUUCAUAUACGAAUACACUGCUAGUGUAACUCCACAUCAUGUACAACUACAAGAAUGCAAAGUUAGACUCCAUGUAUGUAUAAUAUGUCAAAAUACACUCUACUGUCAUGUGUAUCUAAAAAAAAAAAUUAAAAAAAUAAGGGUGAGGAUAGAGGAUCACAAGUUUGAGGCUACCUGAACAACUUAGUAGACUCUGUCUCAAAAUUAAAAACAUAAAAAUAAAAAGGGCCAUGGAUGUAGCUUGGUACAGGCUGUAGUACAGGCUGUGGUAGAGUGCGUGACUAGCCUGUGGUAGGUCCUUGUUUCAAUUCCCAGUAUCACCUAAAGAAAAAAAAAAAAAAAAAAAAGAAAGAAAAAAGAAUGAAGCCCUUUAUUUCCAGGAUAGUAUUGCUUGAACAUGGAAAUUGAUAGUCUGAAAAAAAAAGUGUGUUGAAAACUGUGACAAAUUUCUUGUGCUGUAUAAAUGUUACAGUUGUAUUGCUUAUUCUGUUUUAAAUUGAUAAAACUUCCAAAAUCAAAACAGUGUGGGCUUAUUUUAGAUACUGUUACACCAGAGGUUACCAGACAUCUGUCAUGAUGUUUAUCUUUGGGAAGCUAAAGUUCAUGUAUUGCAAAUGGACACCAUCAUUCUAAUUUAGAUUAAGGUAUGUGUCUAACCAGUACUGAUUUUUAAUUUUUUUUUUAGUUGUAGAUGGACACAAUAUCUUUGUUUAUUAGUUUAUUUUUAUGUGGUGCUGAGGAUCGAACACAGUGCCUCCCACAUGUGAGGCAAGUGCUCUACCAUUGAGCUAGGGCCCUAGCCCCAGUACUGAUUUUUGAAGGCUUUGAAGUUGUAAUUGGUAACAGUAAUCAUAGUAUCAAACUAUCCCUCAUUUCAUUGGGAUAAAAAGUAAUGAUUUUCUCAAAUACAUUUGUCACUUCCUUAAAAGCAAUUUUUUUCUCUUCAUGAUUUUCCUACUGAGCAAGAGGUUCAUGUCUACUGGGGAUAAUAGAAUUCUCCACUGGGUAGGAAAUUAACAAUAAAAGUAAGUUAAUAAGUCUUUAUUAGGUACCUAUAAUUGGAAUAAGUGCUGUGGAGAGAAAAAGGAAAAUAAAGAGCUGUCCCUGCCCUUGGGGAAAGCUACAAUCUAGUUAAAAGACAGAAUUGUGACUUGUGGUUUUGUAGACUCAUUUCUAAUUUUAUUCAAACCACGUUCCUCAAACCAUUACUGAUGUAGUAAAAGAUUUAUAUAAUGUAAUAUGUAAGGGUUUUAUUUGUUCUCUUCCCCAGUACCAAAAUUAUAAAAGAAUGUAUUUGAAUUGAUAUCUAAUGGAGUUUUAAUGUCCAUUUCAUUUUUUUAAUAUGAAAAGUUAUUUUAAACAUUUUCAUUAGGCAUUGAAUAUGAAAUUUGAAAUAGUAUUGGUGAUGUUAAGAAAACUGUGGUAUGAGCUUGAAGUUGGUUAGUGAUACUUCAUGGAUAUUGAAGUUUCUAUAAAUAAUAAUAAAACUGUAGCAGGCAUUUUUGGGGGGAAGAUAUGAAUUUAAACACUAUUCAAUUCAUGUCCUUUUUGUGUGUUUUAUAAUUUUAGUAAAUAUUUUUAUUUUGAGUUGUUCUUUUUUAAAAUAUUUUUUUUAGUUGUCAAUGGACCUUUAUUUUUCUUAUUUAUGUGUGGUGCUGAGAAUUGAACUCUGUGCCUCACACAUGCUAGGCAAGUACUCUACCACUACGCCACAACCCCAGCCCGCCUUUUGAGUUGUUCUUUAUGUAGUAAAUUUAAGGCAGGUGAAAUUAUCAUUUAAAGAGGAAGUAAAUGAAAGCUCAUUUUGACAUUCAGACCAUAUUUAAAGAAUAUUACAAUUAUAUGAGAUUACUUAAUAUGUUGCUAUUCUACUGAUGCAUGUAAAUUAUAAUGAGAAAUAAUAAACAUUUAAAGCACAGGUCUUAAAAGUAUUUCUUUAUAAAUACAAUUCACUCCUUAGAAAUUUAGGUUCUUGAUGGUUAGGGUGGUGCUUGCCUAUAAUCUCAGUUACUCUGGAAGCUGAGGCAGGAAAAUCAAAUUUGAAAAUCAAAAAAAUGAAAUGGACAUUAAAACUCCAUUAGAUAAGAAUUCAAAUACAUUCUUUUAUAAUUUUGGUAUUGGGGAAGAGAACAAAUAACAUCUUUACGUAUUACAUUAUAUAAAUCUUUUACUACAGCUUUGGCAAUUUAGGGAGACCCUGUCUCAAAAUAAAAAACAAAAAGGAAGGGACUGGGGAUAUAGUUCAGUGGUAGAGUACUUCUGGGUUCAAUCCUCACUCCCAUCUCCCCUUCCCUCCUAAUUUCAGAUUCUUGAAAAUUUUUCAUCAAUGAAAAAUUAGGUGCAUUCUAAUUUGGCCCUUGAAAUGUUUCUAUGCACAAGAGUUUAAAAGUAGUAAGAUGAAAUCAUGUCAUAUUUAUCAUAAUAUGUUAUCUUUAUAUAAAUUUUCUUUUAAUUGAAUUAAAUUAAAUUUUCUACCAGAUUUGUGGGCCCCCAAAGAAGGAAAGUACAGGUUAAGGAAAGAAAGAAAGAAAGAAAGGUGGGGGAACCCCACAAACUUAAAGAAUAAUUAGAAUUCACUACACAUACAAUAGUAUUUUAGUUUUAAACUGUUAGUCCUAUAAAUUAGGACCCAUUAAAUAAAAGGUUUAAUUGAGUCUGCUAAACUCAGUUCAUUACAUUUAUGUAGUCAUUUAUUGCCAUUGAUACCAUCUCUAUUUAUUAAAAACCUGAAACUUAUGCCCAUGGAGAAGGCUGACUUUUGUUAGUAUUUUGACUUAGCUGCUAAAAGAUACUUUCUUCUUAACUCUUAAGUUAAAGCAUUGAUAUAUAAAUCCUAUUGAAAUGAUGUAUUAAGUUGACUGAUUAAAAAUAGUCACAACUUUUCUUUCUCCUAGGAAUUAGAGAUUUAAAUCUCUGAAAACAUUAAUGUGUGUGGGAUGGUUAUGAUAGUCCAGCUGCCUUUGUGUGUGUUUCAUUUAAAUGUAAAUUUAUCUUACAGACUCUAAAGAUGAGCUCAGAAGGUAGAGAAUUUUAAUGUGAAUAGUCAUUUUCUUUGUUUUUCAUGAAUACCAAAAUCCCUGUUUUACACUAAAGAAAGAAAAAAAAAAACCUUAUUAAACAGCCAGCACUCAACUGCUUUUUUUUAAAGGUUUUUAAUGGAUUAUCAAUUUUCUCUCAUUAGCAGUAUUUCUAAGAUUACAUAAUUCCAUGAGAAGAAAACUAAUUUAUACACUAUAAAAGCACAUAUGUCAAGAAUUAAACAAUGUCCAGUAUGAUGCUAGGUAUUAUUUUACAGUACUUUGUAAAAGCAAACAGUAGUGUUUUAGCCAGAAGUCAGCUUGUAGAAAUGUAUUACAAAUAAUUAAAUCUUAGAUGUUAAGAAAUUAACUAUUGAAGGUGGCAAAAGUCCAUUGACAUAUAUGUAUGACACAUAUCUAUAUGCUGUGUAUAUAGUUAGACUGAUACAUAGUUUAAUCAUUGAUUAAAAUAUCUAAUACUAUAAUUAUAAAACUUCCAGGAACAGUUUUUGAGAACAAGUUUUCAAGGAAGUUUCCAUUUAUCACUAUACUCUUUAAGACAGAAGAUCAAGAUUCCAAGCUCCAUAUUUUUGCUUCAUUUUGUCCUCACUGUUGGUAUCAAAUAAGCUACUAUGACUGUUCUCCCAAGGAAGGUUACCUUCUGUUGUCUUUAGCAAUCUUUUCUACUUCUAUACAAUGAAAGAAGUCAUUUUUUAGAGUGGCUAUUGAUUGCAUAUUUUGAACACAUUUUUGUCUGUAGUUAUUGUGUUACCAGCCUGUGAUUAACUUGUGCUAUAAAAACAAACAAAUAGACCAAAACCUGUUUGAUCUACCCUAACCUUUCCAUAUGUAAAUUUUGGAAAAGUGACACUGUAGCAUGCCAAUAAAAUGUACUCCUGCAUUGACAUUUCCAGAGUAAUUAUAAAAAAGGAUUAUAAAGUUUACUGAAGGGAUUGUUAUUUGUUGGUUGAUAAAAUUUACUUAAGCCACCUAAAUGUAAAUAUUUCCCAAGCAACCCCUAUGGAGUCAAUGGUUUCCUUUAAAGAAAAAAAAAAAUAACCUUUGUUUAUUCUAAAUAUCUGUUUUUCACAAGAAAAGUAAAGGAGUGUUUUCCAAACAUUUUUAGAAGGUCUUGAAUUUUUAUUUAUGCCACUUUUUAAUAUACAAGUUUCCAUCAAAUACUUGCAGAUUUAAGACAUAACUGCAUAUUUUGCUCUAAGUAAUAGUUGUCAUUUAGAAUUUGAAACAGUUUUACAGUAACCAGAUGGGGUAUGAAAUGUGUAUUCAUAGUACUUUCUAAUUUACAGAUUCUAGGAUAUGAGGUCAGACACAUUGGUUUAUAAUCAAAAUAAGGGAUUCGUUUUCUUUGUAAUUCUAGUGAAAUAAAGAGGAGGCAUAUUCUUUGAGAACAGGAAUAUAAGUACCAAUCUUAGAAGUAACCCUCACAUCAAACAAAUCUCUUUUUUUGUUCCUUUUCCAGUUCUCUCCCCAUCCUCUAAACUCCUGAGCUUGGAGAAAGUGAACUCUAAAAACCAGUCUUUCUCUAUGUGAAUGCCAAACCUUGUGGA
rnacentral:lncRNA from 1 species